AUCUAAUUUUACUACUGCAUUGUCCUCAUGCAGGUUGUUGGUAUACUCCUUUGUUGUAUAAACUGCUGCUUCACUUCCUUGAGAGACCCCAAAGCCAAGCUGGUUUGACUGAAACAUCAUGGCCGCCUCUGCGAGAAUACUCCAGACAGCAGCUUUGGAAACGAGACAAAUCUGAACUUUCCAUCAUACCAAAUACCAUGUCAACAGAACUAGCAAUAAGUGAGAGCCGUGCACUGUCUCUUAGUGCUAUCCAACAGUGAUGCCAUUCUUCCACAUCAGUAUACCAUCAGCAUACUUUGGUGUGCACUCUUCAAAGAGUUUUUAUAAAAAUCAACUGCCCACAUUACAUAAUAAAUUCAGAGAAAAAUAAAAUGUAGUUUUAGUUUCAUUUUCUAUAUAGGAAACUUUUAAGAAUUAAUGUUUGACUGCUCUCAAAUACACUGUAAAAUAAUUUUCCUUAUCUCAAAUUUAUAUCACAAUAUAAAUUUCCUUUGUGAUAGACAUGAGUCCAGGUUCCCAUUAACAAGAUUCACACUGCUCAAAUUAUGCUUUGUGAUAUGCAACUAUCAGUAUGAAAAAUAAAACCUUAUAAAAAUGUAUAUCACAAGAAAAGCAUUCCACAUGCAUGCAGCUUGUGAUCAAGAUUAUAAAUUAAAUGUCAGUCCCCAAGACCACAUAUACUGGAAGACAAUCAAAUUAUAAAAUAAUGAAACACACUUCUAAUUUUUAGAUUGAUAACUAUCAUUCUUAAGAGCCAUUUAUUUUUUACUGUAAUUCACGACAAUGAUGGAUUAAUUUAUAAAAUUUAAUGUAAAAUUAUCAAAAUGCAAUCACAGUAUUAAAAUUUUAAACAUAAUGUCUUAUAAAUUGUAUUUAACAAUACAUUAUUGUUAAUCACAUUUACCAAAGCAUAACAAGGUGUCUAAAUAUUACUGAUUAAACAAUGAGAAAAUGAGUAGCAAAAUAGACAUUACUCAUUUAUUAUCAAUAAAAUAAAUCACUAUUUUAUAUCCAUUAAACAGCAUCACAAAUUUAGUGUAGGCCUGUGAACAGGGGUAAGUUACAAAAAAGAAAGAAAUGUCCUUUUAAGGUUUUAUUUAAUGUAGGAUCAUUGACUUGAAUAGUUGAACUAGUUACAGACAUAUACAUAUGUGUGGCAUCUAAGGAAUGACACUUUUAAGUGUUGACCAGAAAUGAUUAAUAAUUAUUAUGCCUAUGAUGUUAUGAUAAAACAUAUCAUGAGGAAUUUGUGAUUGCAAAAGUGGUAAAUAACUGAAUGUGGUAGAACUAGUUGUUGUUGUUAUAGCAGUCAUGCUAGCCUGGUAGUUGCUUACAAAGUACUAGUUACUAUAUUAAGAUUAACUCAAGUAGCAGCAGCAAAAGUAUUGAAAAUAGUAAUAAUGACAAGAGUUAUAAUAACUACAAUUUUAAUUAUUGCGGAGCAUUAUAAAUACAGUACUCGUGCAAGGUACACACAGCAACAGUUACUCAUAGACUAACACUAAAGGAAAUUGUGCCAUCCAACCACACAGAAUCUGCAAAAAUCGGUGAUACAACACUGUGCAUACCUCACAAUCACAAAGUGUCAAAAAAAUAAUAAUGAAAGGAAUCAGGGAAAAGAAGCAAGAGUAUGAAAAUUCAUAUAGUAAACUGUUGAAAAUGUAUGUCUCUCUAAGCACGUAAGGUAAAUCAGAUUUUCAGCAACAUCAAAUGAUCACAUAAUUUUUUGUGAUCCCGUUGUAUGUUGCACAUCCCUCUUUAAGCAUCUGUUUAGGUGCCAGUUCAAACAGAACUGCAGGAUAAUGUUAGACACUGAAUAAUGGAGCGCUGGAUAUCUACAAUAUUUUAUCACUUUUUUACAUACAGGCGCGCCCCACUUUACAGUACUUUGCUUUACGGUGCUUCACUAAUGCAGUGGUUUUCAACUGUACCCAUUCUUUAUUUAUUCAGAUUUCCUACAAUAAGCUAAGGAUGAAAAUAUUUUAAGGUAAGUAAUGUAUGUACUGUAUAUGUAUUUCAUAUUAUUAUUAUAAUCAAAAAGAAGCGCUAAACCACAAGGGCUAUACAGCGCUGCAGGGCAGGAAGGAAGCGAGGGUA